rnacentral:misc_RNA from 1 species
GAUGAAGAACGUAGCGAAAUGCGAUAAGUAAUGUGAAUUGCAGAAUUCAGUGAAUCAUCGAAUCUUUGAACGCACAUUGCGCCCGCCAGUAUUCUGGCGGGCAUGCCUGUUCGAGCGUCAUUUCAACCAUCAAGCCCCCGGCUUGUGUUGGGGACCUGCGGCUGCCGCAGGCCCUGAAACCAGUGGCGGGCUCGCUAGUCACUCCGAGCGUAGUAAUACAUCUCGCUCAGGGCGUGCUGCGGGUUCCGGCCGUUAAAAAGCCUUAUUUACCCAAGGUUGACCUCGGAUCAGGUAGGAAGACCCGCUGAACUUAAGCAUAUCAAUAAGCGGAGGA